GUGUUCGUAGCUUAAUGGAUAGAGCACCAGACUACGGAUCUGGGGGUUGAGAGUUCAAGUCUUUCCGAACACA
rnacentral:tRNA from 1 species